rnacentral:rRNA from 1 species
AGCGAACGUUUGCGGCGGGCUUAACACAUGCAAGUCGAACGAGAAUCCCUUCGGGGAGGAAAGUGGCGCACGGGUGCGUAACACGUGGAUAACCAGCCCAUUGGUUUGGGACAACACCGGGAAACUGGUGCUAAUACCAGAUGUGUCGCAGCUGUCUUCAGGCGGUUGCGAGAAAGGCCCGCAAGGGUCGCCAACGGACGGGUCCGCGUCCCAUCAGCUAGUUGGUGAGGUAAUGGCUCACCAAGGCAAAGACGGGUAGCUGGUCUGAGAGGAUGAUCAGCCACACUGGAACUGAGACACGGUCCAGACUCCUACGGGAGGCAGCAGUGGGGAAUAUUGCGCAAUGGGCGAAAGCCUGACGCAGCCACGCCGCGUGAGCGAUGAAGGUCUUCGGAUCGUAAAGCUCUGUGGGGGGAGAAGAAGAAAGCCGGUGAAGAGCCGGCCCUGACGGUAUCCCCUUAGCAAGCACCGGCUAACUCCGUGCCAGCAGCCGCGGU